UUUUGUUGGCUUGUCUGUUAAUCAUAUUUGAACACAACAUUACGCCUUACAGGUUCCCCAACUUUUCCAUUCACUAUUGUAUGUAAAACCAUUAUUGCUAAAAAUA